rnacentral:lncRNA from 1 species
GUGAUGAUUUGCUAAGAGAUGCUAUGAUGUAUGUAAAGUCCCUGCCUUCCCCAAAGAGUGUAUAAAAACUGUUGCAAACUCAGGGCUGAGGGCUCUCUCAGCGUCACCAGUUGCUGUGUGCGGAGAGGACAGAGCUAGCUCGCAAUAAACAGCCUCUUUGCUGCUUACAUUGAUCUUGGUAUCUGGUGGCCUUUGGGGGUCCCGAACUCGAGCAUAUCAUUGGGAGCUCCCUUAUAAGCCUACCCAGACACCUUGAUCAAGAGGUGAUGAAAACCCGGUUGCCCAGCAACAAGCCCACCAGGACGAGUGGUCCCAUCUCAAAGCUCUGUAUGAAACAAGACUCCCUCCUCAGCCACACAGCUUCCGUUCCAGAGACUGGGUCUACAUAAAGAGACAUCAACAGGAAUCACUGCAACCUCCCUGGAAGGGACCAUACGGGGUGAUCCUCACAACACCCACCGCUCUCAAGGUCAACGGGAUUGCCACCUGGAUCCACUACUCUCAUGCAAAGCCAGCAGACUUGUUCUCUGUGAGGAGCGACUUCAUUCCGGAUUCGAAUUCCAAGUGGCUCAGUGGUGCUCAAGAUCCUGAGGAACAUAAGGUCUGAUGCAUGAAAGAAUCAUUAAAGUUGUUCAAGUAAUAAGGUAUAUGGCUGUAUGGAAUAGAGGUUUUGAUGUCUUUGUCCCUUUCUUUGUAGUCGCAAGGGUGAAUUUUGAGACAGUCCUAAUUACAUAUAUGAGCAUAUCUGGGAAUUGUACCUCUGCCCUGUAGCUGAGUUGGGCUCUUAGAGAAUUUCUGUAGAACUCAGUUCCACAUUUAGAUUUUCUAUUAAUAAGGCUAGUUUGAAACUUGACACAGAAUUAACAUUAAAGAUUGUCUUUAUUGUUGGUUCAUAUACUCUACAAAGAUGACCAAGGCUGAUUCAUUAAGAUCAGAGCCAGGAGGGGUGGUUCACACCUGUAAUCCCAGUAGCUCAGGAGGCUGAGGCAGGAGAAUCACAAGUUCAAAGCCAGCCUCAGCAACUUAGUGAGGCCCUGUCUCUAAAUAAAAUAUUUUAAAAGGGCUGGAGUUGUGACUCAGUGGUUAAGCACUCCUGGGUUCAACCCAUGAUACCAAAAAAGAAAAAAAGAUCAGUUAGAAUAAUUCUAAAUUAACUAGCUAUUUUACAACUAUCUUAAGAAAUUGUUGAAUGCUUUAAUUUAUAAGUCAUUAUAAAAUUAUUCUUACUAUUCCAGAUAAUCAUGUACACUCAAUUAGUAGAGGCAUAAAUAUGGCAGGACUAGAGUUAAAUUCUAAGAUUUACCUCUUACCUGAGCAAAAUAUCUGUAUAUCAUACCAAAUUUGAAACUGUCCUCAUUGUUGGUUUACUAAAGAAAACUUU